UACGGAGGGUGCAAGCGUUAUCCGGAUUCACUGGGUUUCAAGGGUGCGUAGGCGGCUUGAUAAGUCAUUGGUGAAAGCUCGCAGCUUAACUGUGAAACUGCCAAUGAAACUGCCAAGCUUGAAUCUGGUUGAAGUGGGGGGAAUACAACAUGUAGCGGUGAAAUGCUUAGAUAUGUUGUAGAACACCGAUUGCGAAGGCAGCUCACUAAGCCAACAUUGACGCUGAGGCACGAAAGCGUGGGUAGCGAACAGG
rnacentral:rRNA from 1 species